rnacentral:lncRNA from 1 species
GGGAUGGCCACGCCCACAUUGGGCUGUGCCACUAAACCACACCCACAUUGCGUCACAGCAAAGCCACGCCCACAAUGGCACACCCUAUUAAGCCACACCCCCAUUGCGGUCACAGCCAGGCCACGCCCCCAAUCAAGCAACGCACAAAUUAGUUGUGCUCUAAUUAAGCCACACCCACUCAUGCCACACCCCCGUUUGGUCACACCCAAACCACGCCCACAAUCAAGUCACACCCCACAUUAACUGUGCUGUAGCUAAGCCACACCCACCUGCCACACCCUCUUAAGCCACACCCACAUUGUGUCACACCCAUUUAAGCCACACCCCAAAUUAUGUGUUCCAUUAAAGCCACACCCACCGUGCCACACCCUCUUAAGCCACACCCUAUAUCUGGGUCACACCUAUUUAAGCCACGCCUCAGAUAAACCACACCCUCUUAAGCCACACCCAACUAAGCCACACCCACACAAACCACGCCCAUUCCCAGUUCCCACCUCCUGUCCCUGAGACCACACCCCUUUUCCUAAACCCCACCCCCUCCAUUCCUUGAGGCCCCGCCCACCUUGGUGCUGCCGGGGGCGGAGCCAUCGCGGCCCAAUGAGGACACGGAGCUGCUGUCCCCGCCCGGGCCCCGCCCAGGGGAGGAGCCUCCGUCCAGCCCCAGCUCCUCCAGCCCUGCCGGCCCCGAGCCUGCAGCUCCUGCAGCUGCUGCAGCUCCUGCUGCGCCUGCGCCUCCUGCCGCGCCCUGCCACAGCCCAAAGACACCCCAAAACCAUCAGGGACACCCCAAAACCAUCAGGGACACCCCAAAGACAUCAGGGACACCCCAAAGACAUCUGGGACACCCCAAAACCAUCAGGGACACCCCAAAAACAGCCCAAAGACACCCCAAAACCAUCAGGGACACCCCAAAGAUCAUCUGGGACACCCCAAACACCCCAAAACCAUCAGGGACACCCCAAAGACGUCAGGGACACCCCAAAAACCUCCCAAACCACCCCAAAAUCAUCAGGCACGGCCCCAAAACCACCCUAAAGACAUCCUGGAACCCAAAAUCCCCCAGAGAGCCCAAAAUUUCCCCCAAAUCCCCCAAAAUUUCCCCCAAAUCCCCCAAAAUUCCCCAAAUCCCCCAAAAUUCCCCAAAUCCCGGAUUUUUUUGACCCCUCCCCUUUUU